rnacentral:siRNA from 1 species
ACAAACGCCGUUGAUUGUUAC